rnacentral:rRNA from 1 species
GAAUCCCGUCUUUGGCAUGGAUGACCGGGGCUUUUGUGAUGCGCUCUCGAAGAGUCGAGUUGUUUGGGAAUGCAGCUCAAAAUGGGUGGUGAACUCCAUCUAAAGCUAAAUAUUGGCGAGAGACCGAUAGCGAACAAGUACCGUGAGGGAAAGAUGAAAAGCACUUUGGAAAGAGAGUGAAACAGUACGUGAAAUUGUUGAAAGGGAAACGCUUGAAGUCAGUCGCGUCGGCCGAGACUCAGCCUUGCCUCGGCUUGGUGUACUUCUUGACCGACGGGUCAGCAUCAAUUUUGCCCCUUGGAUAAUGGCGAGGGAAAUGUGACACCUUUAUAGGUGUGUUAUAGUCUCUUGUCGCAUGCAAGGGUCGGGAUUGAGGAACUCAGCACGCACCUUUUGGUGUCGGGGCUUUGCCCACGAUACGUGCUUAGGAUGUUGGCGUAAUGGCUUUAAACGACCCGUCUUGAAACACGGACCAAGGAGUCUAACAUGCCUGCGAGUGUUCGGGUGGAAAACCCGUGCGCGCAAUGAAAGUGAAAGUUGGGACCUCUGUCGUGGAGGGCACCGACGCCCGGACCAGACCUUCUGUGACGGCUCUGCGGUAGAGCAUGUAUGUUAGGACCCGAAAGAUGGUGAACUAUGCCUGAAUAGGGUGAAGCCAGAGGAAACUCUGGUGGAGGCUCGUAGCGAUUCUGACGUGCAAAUCGAUCGUCAAAUUUGGGUAUAGGGGCGAAAGACUAAUCGAACCAUCUAGUAGCUGGUUCCUGCC